GGCCCUCCGGGUGCCGCCCUCCUCGCGCCUUCGGGGCGGGCCCGGGCGGGGCUGCGGGAACCCGGCGCUGCUGUCCAGGGCGCGCAGUCCUGGGACGCGGGAUGCUCGACGCCCUGCCUCGCGGCCCCUGAGGCCUCCUUCCUGCCACCCUUCUCGUCGCCUCGCUCGCCCCGGCCCGGGCUGCUGCGCCCACCAGUCCCGAGAGGUGCUUUGGGAAGAUUGCCGCAUGAAAUCGUCUGUCUCCUGACGGAUACCAGCAGCGGUCUGAUAGUUUUGAUGGAGCUCCUAGGCAUUAAGAAAUGAAGCAAUCCUACUAACACACCAAUUGUGUAAGAGAGACAGUGUUGGUAAGCCCAUUUGUGGAAGCAAGGCAGGUCUACACAGUGCAAUGAAACUUUGGCAAAAAUUUAGUAUAUUAAUCAUUGUGAAAUGACUAGCAGAUGUAUCAUUUAGAUUGGCUAUUGGCUUUGAUGAAAUUAAGCAAAUAAUAGCAAACUCUCCAUGUAAGGAUGUGCUAUAAAGAGAAAGACUUUCUGUUUCGCAAAGACAAUCUUGGUGUUGGGCAUACCUGAAUGUUCUUAACAGGUGAGCUAUCACGGAACAAAAGGGACAUGCAGAAUUACAGAUCAUUUACCUGGGAAAAAUUAGUGUCCUCCUUAUUUUGUUUUCAG
rnacentral:lncRNA from 1 species